UCGAGAAUUUUUCUCAAUGGGCGAAAGCCUGAAGGAGCGACGCCGCGUGGGGGAUGAAGGGCUUCGGUCCGUAAACCCCUGUCAUUUGCGAACAAACCUUACUAUUAAACAGGUAGUGAGCUGAUUGUAGCGAAAGAGGAAGGGACGGCUAACUCUGUGCCAGCAGCCGCGGUAAUACAGAGGUCCCGAGCGUUGUUCGGAUUCACUGGGCGUAAAGGGUGCGUAGGUGGCGGGGUAAGUUUGAUGUGAAAUCUCCGGGCUUAACCCGGAAACUGCAUUGAAUACUAUUCUGCUAGAGGUUUGGAGGGGGGACUGGAAUUCUCGGUGUAGCAGUGAAAUGCGUAGAUAUCGAGAGGAACACCAGUGGCGAAGGCGAGUCCCUGGACAACACCUGACACUGAGGCACGAAAGCUAGGGGAGCAAAC
rnacentral:rRNA from 1 species